GUAGGGAAUAUUGGUUAAUGGGCGAAAGCCUGACCCAGCAACGCCGCGUGAACGAUGAAGGCCUUCGGGUUGUAAAGUUCUUUUUAGCCGGAUGAGGAAGGACAGUACGGCUAGAAUAAGUCUCGGCUAACUACGUGCCAGCAGCCGCGGUAACACGUAGGAGACGAGCGUUAUCCGGAUUUACUGGGUGUAAAGCGCGUGCAGGCGGCUUAGCAAGUUGGAUGUAAAAGCUCCCGGCUUAACUGGGAGAGGUCGUGCAAGACUGCUAGGCUAGAGGACAGCAGAGGGGAGUGGAAUUCCGAGUGUAGCGGUAAAAUGCAUAGAUAUUCGGAAGAACACCAGUGGCGAAGGCGGCUCUCUGGGCUGUAACUGACGCUCAGACGCGAAAGCUAGGGUAGCAAACGGGAUUAGAAACCCCAGUAGUCC
rnacentral:rRNA from 1 species